UACAGAGGGGGCAAGCGUUGUUCGGAAUUACUGGGCGUAAAGGGCGCGUAGGCGGCCUUCUAAGUCGAACGUGAAAUCCCCGGGCUCGACCCGGGAACUGCGUCCGAUACUGGAAGGCUUGAAUCCGGGAGAGGGAUGUGGAAUUCCAGGUGUAGCGGUGAAAUGCGCAGAUAUCGGGAAGAACACCCGUGGCGAAGGCGGUUCUGCUGGGACGGUAC
rnacentral:rRNA from 1 species